rfam:Ovis aries breed Texel chromosome 1, whole genome shotgun sequence.
UCCCUGGUGGCUCAGUCUGUAAAGAAUCUGCCUGCAAUGCAGGAGACCCAGGUUUGAUUCCUGAGUUGGGAA